CUGCCUCGCGACAGAGAGCACGUCUUCAGACUACAAUUCGCGGCAUUACUGCCGAGAUUUCCAUGUUGAGCACUUCCCGCUUCACUCGCCGUUACUAAGGGAAUCCUUGUUAGUUUCUUUUCCUCCCCUUAUUAAUAUGCUUAAGUUCAGGGGGUUGUCUUGCCUGAUUUGAGAUCAACGUACAAAAAUUCAAGACGCACAGCGGCACAAUGAAUCUAGUGUUUCUGACCCGAAGGUAUCAUUAUUGAGGCUUCCCGUUUGACCGGGUCCUCUUUUCCCAACGAUACCUUUGACGCGGCGUCUUCACACAAACAUCCAUGCCUCCGGAUGCAACCGCUUUACCAUAAUAUGGUCCAUUCUUCAGGAGACGCCUGGCAUAUGCCAGCGAAACCCAGGGGGCAUACUCAAGACAAGUCUUAAGAAGCCAAGAUGUGGUGCGUGAUGCUCAAACAGGCAUGCUCUAGGGCAGAGCCCACGAGCGCAAUUUGCGUUCAAAAACUCGAUGAUUCACUGAAUUCUGCAAUUCACACUACGUAUCGCAUUUCGCUGCGUUCUUCAUCGUUACGAGAGCCAAGAUAUCCGUUGUUAAAAGUUGUUUUUUGCAAUGUUGCAAAAGAAUACUUCACAGGAGAUCUGAAGAACUCUCUUCUUAGGAGAAACGUACUUCUGAUCCCAGCGAAAGCAUUCAAAUUUUCAGUCCAUGCUUCAGGGAUUAAAAAGGGGGCGGGGGAGCUUGCGCUCAGCUGUCGCUGCGCAUCUACAUGGCUUCCUCUUAUUCACCCUCACCCUUACCUAUAGAAGCACUUAUCACUUUCAGAAGUAACAUCCUUCAAGAAGAAGCCGGAGGUCUCAAGGCAGAGCGAACAAGGCACAAGAGGGGCUCCACCACAGCUGCAUGUCUACCUGACGUCCGACGGGUUUUCAAACGCAUCCCAACUUAAAAGGGGAGCGCCGGCAGAGAGUCAGGGAAUUCACAGCUGCAGGGGCCUCUUGUUUCUCUUGGCAUGUUCUCUUCUACGCC
rnacentral:rRNA from 1 species